UCAUGAUGAGAUCACUGCCGCUCCAGGUACCAGCGGAGCGAAGAUUGACCAUAAUAAUCUAGGGUGCAUCUCUGCCAUUGAUUGGUCCAAGUUUGGAAAGCCUGGUACCGCAGAGAAGGCGUGCCAGACUGACAUCAUUGAUACAACUAUUUGUUCUUCAAAGCCCUUGCAGCCUGUGUGCAAGGCCCGUGACCGGCCAACAUGCCGUGUUAAACCUUAUAUUGUUCUUAAGCUCAAACGACCUAACGAAUAAACCUUACCUGAGAACUCACUCCUGCUGUCCCCCGAUUAUUUCACACUACAUCAAACACACACCUCAUACAUAUAUCCUCAUUUACAAAAUUAUCUCCCACAGCCUCCACAGAUUAACCUUGCCAUAUAAUGAGACGGUCACCUCAAUUUAGUGGGAGCCCUGUCCAUAAGCCUGGAAUUGCACGAUGAAGGCCUGGAUAAAAUGACUUUGUUGUUGCCCGCAAAACAUACUACAAGACCGUGUGCAGAAAUUUUCCGGUACAACCUGCCAGAGCUAGCAAGUGUGGCUGCAGCUAAUAAGACCUCAGCCCGGAGUCACCAGAGGAGGAAGAGGCUCUUGGAGGUGAGGCAAAGUGUACUGGCUGAGGACGAAGUGGACUUCUCGAGGGGAAUCAUAAAUAUACAUUUUCAUAUAUAUAUAUAUAUAUAUUUCGCUUGUAUGAUGGUUUUGUUACAGUGUAACCAAUUGGGAGGAAUGCGAUGCAGUUGACGCUGAUGGGAGGAGCCAAGUCGCGCAAACGCCACCCCGGAAGAUUAACAGAAGAUUAACUGGAAGAAGAGUCAGGCUAUAAAAGCGAGACACCGACGCCGCAUCGGGCACGUUUUGUUUUAAGUAUAUGGUGUAUUGAAGCAUAUGUACAGCUGUUUGACCCAGAGCACAGGUACGGAUGAAAGAUAUGGGCUAACAUGCACUCUGUUGUUUCCAAAGCAAAUAAACAAGAUGUUUUAACUCACCAGCAAUACACCAGCAGGUCGUCUAGGUAGAUGAGAACCAUCUGAAACACCAGGUCACUCAUUAUGGCUUGCAUGAGACGCUGGAAUGUCGCCGGCGCAUUACAAAGGCUGAACGGCAUUCACUGGUAUUCAUACAAUCCAAAUGGCAUGACAAAAGCAGUCUUGUGUCGAUCUUUUUCAUGAACCGUCACUUGGUGGUACCCGCUUGCAAGGUCUAUUGACAAGAAUACUUUUGCAGUGCACAGAGCAUCUAAGCUCUCAUCUAUUCAUGGUAACGGAAAAGCAUCACUUCUGGUUUUUGUGUUUAGCUUCCUUUAGUCCACGCACAGGCUCAGACUGCCAUCUGACUUCCAAACUAAGACCACCAGGGAGGCAUACGAGCUUGAGCUUUCUUUGAUGACACCUUUUUUUAGCAAUCCAGAGAUAUGUUCCCUUACUUCCCCAAAUUGGUUCGGGGGUACCCGGCGAUAUGGCUAUGAAGACACAGGAAUGUCAUUGAUCACCCGAAUCUCAUGUUUUACCCGAUCCGUAUGACGAUCUCAUACUUCAUCAGCAGUGCUCUCAACUCCAGUUGUUGUUCAGGGUUACCGCCAAUCUGCACCUUUUCCAAGGGAGACUGCUUGUCCUCUUCAACCCCAGUCAUUGAUCUUUGGCUAAUGGUGACCUCCUUGUGGUCGGCAGAGAUCCACUGGAAUCUUACUUCACAAGAGCUACUCUCAAUGCAAUGGCCCUGUAAGCAUCCCAAGCCUAACCUUUGGGGGCAGCCACACAUCCUCUGGCAAGAAGUUUACAACCUGCACUGAGAACAUGCAACUACUAGUUGGCACCAAGGUUGGUAUCAGGACCAGACCACCUGGCAAGGGUGCAUUUCCUGGUUCAAACAGCCCCAGGCCUCGGCUCUGCACCAAACCUUUGUGAGUCCUAGCCUGAAUCAUAGCUACUGAGGCCACAGGUAUGUGCGUACUGUGGUCUCCCGCUGCCCUAACUAAAGUGGUCGCCUCCACAAGAGCAGCCUCCUGUACCCUUCUGAAGGUGGCUCUCCAGUCUGGGUCCAAUGUUCCCUCAAGGGCAUUGUCAAACUCUUGGCCAGAAUCAACUCUUUGUAACACUGGGCGAUAUUCAUACCAAUUAUGGCGGGGGGUGUUGGGUCUGCUUCCAUGCCUUCCUGAUCACGCACUACUAAGAGCUCACAUCCAAGUCAACCCCAUCACCUGUAUAUCUAGCUUGACAUACCCAAGGUAUGGAAGUGGCAACUUGUUAGCAGCAGUAAUCUUUAACCACUUGGUAGUACAGUGCAUAUCUUUGUCCUUUCCAUGCAGACACUUUCUUGAAAAAACUCUCACUAAGGGUAUUGGCAUUACUGCUGGUAUCCAAGAGGCACCUGACAGCCACACCCCUAAUGUGAAUUUCCACUUCUGGGCACUUACCCACUGCACAUUCGAGAAACCGCUCUUUGGUAAGUUGGCUGAUUUCUGAGCUGUCAGACCCCCCUCUCAUUGCCCGGCUCUUCACAAUGGAGGGGCCCCAUUUCCCUGAGCCGAGGAUUCGUGUGCAGCAGGGGCAUAGUUUUUUUUCCUGGGAGCGUGGUGCAGUGCAUUGCCUAGCUAAGUGACCACUACCUUCACAUCUAUGAAGGCAAAUAGGCUGGCCAUCAUGGGUAUACUUUGGCUUAAACUUAGCUUUGCCAGAUUUUGCCACCUGAAUCAGAUCUUUGAGUGGUGAGAUCUCGGACAGCAUUUGUAAGCUCACUGAUUGCUUUCCCCUGUUGUGUGAUUACUUUAAUAAUUUCUUGCAGGGCUACCCUUAAAUCACUUGGUACAGUGGUGGCUGUUUUCACGUGCCCUGUUUCUUCAUCUGUACCCACACCCACUAAGUUUCGGCUCCUCACAACAUUCACACUGUCGGGUCUCUCCUCUGAAAACCACAUUAAGGCUUCCUCACAGACACUGAAUAACGUAGCACAGUGUCACUCACGAACAACCUUACAGAGUUCUCUCUGAAGGGCAGAAUCCCUCACCCCCUCAAUGAACUAAUCUCACAACGCAAACUGUAUGUUAUGUACCGCAUGUUGUAUGUUAGGAACAGCAUUGGGAGACUGCUGAAGAGCAGCAUUUAGCAUCAACGAGGGCAUGCAAAUAAUCAAAAAUCCUCCACCUCCAACUGUUUUCGUGCAUAGAAAGCAUGUAGUAACUGAGGGGUUGUUCGCUUUUCUCUAAAGGCUGCCCUCAAGUAGGCGAACAGGUCAUGAGGCUGCUUACCCCCCCCCCUCCCCCUCCAUACAGAAUUUGACCUCCUCAAGAGCUGAGCUCCAUAAAUGGGAAAGGACAACGUCUAUCUGGUCUUCUUUAUUCAGACCUCUGACCCUAGUUACCCGCUCAAGUUCCUCAAUAAACUCAUCUACAGUUUGGCAUUCUUUACUAUAAUCACCACUAAAGGGUACAAUUUGUUUCUGUCUGGGAAGAUAGACAUAAGAUCUGGUGUUUACAUUGUUCAUGUUGGCCAAAGUUGACAUUACUUGAUCCAGCUCCAGGAGCUGUGUCUGAAGCUGUAAGAUAGGGUUACCUUCCUCAAUGUCUACUUCUGGAGCUGCUGCUCCUUGGAUGUCCUCAGCUAGAGUGGCUGCACCAUCUUCUUCUUCUCCUUCUUCAUCCAUGACUGAAGCACAGCGAUACAAAGUCUCAGUUCUUGAACAGUCUGUUAAACCAGCACCGUCCUUCGGUAGUCACACAGCACUGGUCCUUGGUCCCUCAGCAGAUCUUUGAGGAAUAGCACACGACUUUCUGCAGUCCAUCUAACAUACUGCUGCUCCUGACUACUACCGUUGUUAAAUACCACCCACAAUAUUGCUUGCAUUAAAGAAAAGAACCAACUAAAAGGAAAAUUAUUUUCACAAUGGUUACCAUUCUGUGUGGUCAACUACACAUUUGUUAACAUUUUACACUUGUGAUUUGCCUUUUGUCCAGCAGGGCUACACACACACACACACACAUACACACCACUCUAAAAUAUGGCAUAAUUUCAUGUAAAUAAAACUUAUUUUACACUUAUGCUUUUUUUAAAAAAAAAACUUUUUUAUGAACAAUAAAACACAUUUACAUGAAAUUAUGCACCCUGUUGGACUUCCAUGACCAUGCUUGCAGAGGCUGGCAUGCAGAGAAGAACCUGGCAUCGUCUUAGGACUGGGUUGAUGAUCUCAGGAUGAUCUGGGGCUUUUUGUCCUCUGUGGUGCUAACUGCAGUGUCCCGAUGCAGAGUGUUCAUGGGAAGCACAUUCCUUCUCUUUUGGGGCAGUAGGAGACAAGAGCAUGCGUGUCUGUAAACACAAACUGGGAGGAGAAUGUGGCCCUAUCUCUUGUCGCCAGCAGUGCAGGGGGAAGCUCUGGUUUGUUCUGUCUCACGGUUCCCACCAUGGCCAGCUCCCUCCUUAGCACCUCCUGGCCAAGAACGUGACAUAGGAUGUGAAAAAGUUGUCACAAGCGAUGCUGUGUCCUUGAAGACCCUCUGUCACCUCAAGAACCACACGCUGGCUCUGAUUCUUCUCUGGCUGUGUACAGCUGCAUGUUCCAGGCGUAGCUAAUCUGGGUAUCGCAGGCUACCCAGAUUUUGAUUCCAUACUUGCCAUGUUUACUUGCCAUAUAUUGUUUGAAUCCACAUCAACCUCUGAUCAACAGGACCAGGCACUCAUCCACUGUCACAUCAGUGCUGGGAUUAUACAUUAGCUGCAGGCGACACACCCACUUAUCCCAGACAUGUCGGAUGGCAGCCAGUUUGUCUCUGGUAUGGCACGCUGGUCUGAUGUUGCGAUCAUCAAAACGUAUGACUCUUGAAAUGAGGUGGAAUGUCUUCAGCAACAUGGUGGCACAAAAAAUUGUCCUCCCUGUCUGAACUUGCCACAGGCUGGAUGUAGCCUCUGUACUGGACCGGUUGACCCCAGCAAGAAUCAAAAGACUCAGAUUUCCCUGUUGAUCUAUUUUUAUCUACUUUCGUUCCAGCUGUAACCAUAUACACAACACCCCUCCUUGUUGGUCAUUUCUAGUACUAUCUUUUCAAUUUCCUCUGACAUAAACACCUCAAAGUUCGACUUUAUGCUAACAGCAUGAGAGACAGCAUACCUUGUUUGCCCUCCUCUCCCACUGUGCCCCCAACAUACAGUGUCGGUUGCUUGGAGGAAUGGAGGACCAGAUAAUAUUUCCAUCCUUGGAUUGGAAAAUAUCUUUAGUUUCAGGAGGCUCCUCUUCAUCACCCUCUGAUACUUCCUCCUCCUCCUCUUCUGCAGGUUCUGCCUCAUCUCUCUCCUCCUCCACAGGGUCAAAAAUGAGGUCAAGGGCCUGUAAUGCACUGUAGGUCCUCUUCAUUUUGCUGUCUCAGAGUGAAAUGGGAAAUGCCCCAUUGAUGCUAUAAAUUCAGUUUUUGUUUGUUUGUUUGUUUAUUGUUAUCUUGUCCCCAAUUUGGCAAAGGCAUAUCUCAUAGCUUUUGUUUUGUCUGGAGGCCCAAUGAAAUGCAAUGCCCAAUGCUUUGAAGUGUGUUUGACUGUGUGUGUGUGUGUGUGUGUGUGUGUGUGUGUGUGUGUGUGUGUGUGUGGAAGACCACAGAUGUUAUAUUAUUAUUUAGAAACACAUAAUUCAACAAAAAUAGUAAUAAUUAAUUUUACUUGCAAAGAGCAUAGUAUAGAACCAUCCAUGUCAUUUUCAGGCAAGUAUGUGGAAAAAAAAAGUAUUUUCAUUCAAGGAUUACUGAUUUAAUUCCCACUAAAAAUACCCAAGAGACCAAAUUUACUAUUCAAUUAAUUUAAUUCAGAAAAAAAGAGAAUCCACUAAUCUUUUGGUGUUAAUGACUGAAGAUGAAAUUCCCUUCUCUUCCAGCAGAUGUCGCCACUUGCACUUGGUUUGUUAACAGUAUAAAGAGAACGGAAAUAAAGUUAGACAAAAGAUUUUUAAAAAAAUUGCUUUUACCCUUUCUUUUGGGCAGCUGGUAAAUAUAUAUAUAGUUGAAUGUUCUUAUUAGAUUAUCAAGGAAACAUUUAUUUUUUCUGCCAAUUUAAUUCAAACUUUAAUAUAUUUUAUAUUUAUUACACAUGAACUGAAAUAUUCCAAGUCUUUUUGCUUUUCAUUUAGAUCAUUAUGGCUCGCAACUCAUGAAAAUGAAACAUCCAGUAUCUCAAAAUAUUAGAAUCUUUAAUAAGAUACUUACAAAAAUUAUUUAGGAUGCAGAAAAGUCAAUUGUCUGAGUAAAUUAUGUUUAUUUAUGCAUGUAAUAUUUGGUUGAGGCUCCUUUUGCACAGAUUACUGCAUUAAUGAGGAGUGGCAUGGAGGCCAUCAGCCUGUGGCACUGCUGAGGUGUAAUGGAAGCCCAAGUUACUUUGAUAUCGGCCUUCAGCUCAUCUGUAUUGUGGGGUCUGGUGUCUCUCGUCUUCCUCUUGACAAUACUCCAUAGAUUCUCUAUAGGGUUCAGGUCAGGUGAGUUGGUUGGCCAGUCAAACACAGUAACACCACAAUCAGCAAACCAGUUCCAAGUAGUUUUGGCACUGUGGGCACGGGCCAUGUCCUGCUGGAAAAGGAAAUCAGCAUUUCCAUAAAGCUUGUCAUCAGAUGGAAGCAUGAAGUGCUCUAAAAUCUCUUGGUAGAUUGCUGCAUUGACUUUGGACUUAAUGAAACACAGUGGACCAACACCAGCAGAUGACAUGGCACCCCAAAUCAUUACUGACUGUGGACACUUCACACUCGGCUGAAAAGAAGACUUUGAACCACUGAGUAAUCUCCAAUUCUUCUUCUCCUUAGUCCAGAUGAUAUGCUUCUGAUGUCUCUCAAGUGGCUUGACCCUAGAAAUGUGACAAUUGUAGACCAUUUUCUGGACACAUCUGAGUGUGGUGGUUCUCGAUCCUCUGACUCCAGCCUCAGUCCACUCCUUAUAAAGCUCCACCACAUUCUUGAAUUGGCUUUGCUUGACAAUCUUCUCAAGAUUACGAUCAUCACACUUUGCCUAUCCAGUCUCCUUUCCAUGAAUAUGCUUUGAUACAGCGCUCUGUGAACAGCCAGCCCUUUCAGCAAUGAUCUUCUGUGGCUUACCAUCCUUAUGGAGGGGGUCAAUGAGUGUCUUCUGGACAACCGUCAGGUCAGCAGUCUUCCCCAUGAUUGUGGUAGUGUGUACUGAACCUGAUUGCGAGAAUUGUGGGAUUUCUACUGCAUAAAAAGUGAGUUGCUCAAAGUGGAAAUGAAAUAUUCUAAUGUUUUGAGAUACGCUUUUUUCUGUAGGCCACAAUUAUGAAAGUUAAAAUAGAAAAAUGCUUGGAACAUUUUAGUUUAUAUGAAAUGAGUCUAGAAUAUAUACGCUUCUCAUUUUCUGAAGUAACUUAAGCAAAACAUGUUGAAC